CUGAAAGUUUGUCACAGUUUGGAGCUGUGUUAAGAACAAAACAGCCUUUUGAGACUGAAAGUUGAUACGGUUUUAUCCUUUAUUCUUUUGUUCUGCUUUCUUUUCUUUUGCCUUAAGGAAUCAGAGCCUAUCAAAAUACGUGGCUUUCAUCCACUUUCUAAAGUCAACAGUGGAUGCAUGCCAUUGUGGGACCCUGCUGGAACAGGUCACUAGGAGAUCCCUGGAGAUGGGCCAUGUCCUACGUGUACACUGCAAAGAAGACACACACCUAAGUGUGUGCUGCUCAGGAUUUGAUUUUCAUUUUGGCAAAGGUCACAGCGGCACCCCUGCUCCUCUUAGACUCCUGCAAACAGCUUUGAACUCGAACGUAUUUGAUAGGUGGGUGUGAUAAGCAGCCAGGUUAGCCAUCCCAUCCCACUCCACCCUGCCCCAUUCCAUCUUCUCUCUGGGAGAACGGUGGUUCUUGACACUAAAUUCGGGAGCAGUUGGCAACGCCUGACUAUUCCCCUGGCUUAAAGAUUUUGAUUGUGAUGAGGUCAUGGUUCAGAGAUCGGCAAAGCCCAGAAACGGUUCAUGUUUUGCUCCCACAGAGGGCUGAGGCUGCAGGGCCUUUGCAGCACUGCUGCGUGUUGCACUGCUGCUGUGAGCGUUGAGUUGGUGCCAUCGGUCUGACCACGCACCUAAAGCACCCCUCAGGAGUCACUGCUUGCUCAAAGCUGGAGAGUCCCACACCACCUCUUGCUUAACUGCAGGUUAAAAAUUUGCUCUCUAUUUACCUGCUGAUGUACCUCACGCUUGAAGUAUGAGGGCCCUGGCCAGGCUGAAGCUGUGGCAGGGUCCCCAGGGUGCAGCCAGCCCGACAGCCCUCGCUGCAGCUCAUCCCAUGCUGGGGGAAGGUGCUUGCUCUGACGGCAUUGGCAAGCACUAAAAAUGAAAAACCUUGACAAAUACAUGGUAGAAGUUAGCAAGAAAUGGCAUUUUCUGUGAGAAGGGGAGCGCUGCGAAUUGGGUUUCAAGGAAAUGGCAUUUAAGCAGUGCCUCUCCUGCAGCUCAGCACUCCGGGUCCGGGCUGGCAGCCAUCGGUGUCAGUGCAGUUUUGCUGCAGGGUUAGCAUGUAAAAGCCGUUCUGCUGAACUGAACACACAACAGAGAUCCUGCAGUGUUUGGGAAUUGGUUUCCAUUCACAAAGCUGAGGGUCUCCGUGCCUGCUGCCUUAACCUGAGCGAGAUGCUCCGCGCUGAUGUGCCGCUGUGCUCCUCACAUAGCUGGGUUUGUGGUGUUCAAUGUCACAUAAGGAGUCUGCUUCUGCUCUGCUGGCCUUUAUUGCCACGUGAGGUGUGCAUACACCUAUAUGAGAGGAAGAGGCAAGAAGCUGGCUGCCCUCUUCCUCACCACGGGCGUGCAGGAGACGUGCUGGGGUAUGGGGUCCUGUCUGUUUGCCAUCACUUGGGAAAGUACAGCCAUUUUAGUUCUCAUCUCAGCCAUUUAAAUAUGUGCAGGAGGGGUGAGCCAUGUUCACAUCCCUUUUUUUUUCCCCCUAAUUCUAAUUUUCUGGCACGCUUUCUCCCUGGAAGCUGGAGCUAUUAGCAGUUAUUCUCCCAGGACUCUGUGCCUCUCUUCAUCUCUGAGUCACUUCUCCAAUUAGAGAUUAAUUUAUCCAGCAUUGCUCCUUGCUGCGACGAGCAGUAAUGAUAAAAACACUCUGAUCUCGAACUGAAAUGGGCCAAAAGGAAGAAGAGAUGUGUGUGGUGUGUCUCUGGGCUAUGGCUUCUUUACAGAGCAGCUGGACGUGUGUAUUUACUGCAGGAAGCUGGAUGCUUGGGGAGGCAAUGGGGGACUCUUCUGUCCUGCUCAGGAGAAGGGCUGGCCAUGCAAGGAGCACGGUGCUCCAGCACAAACCUGCUAAAGAAAUGGUUUGCUACCCAGAUAGCUUGGGAUUGCUAUUUCCUGGUUGUUGAGAAACACAGGUAGAUAAGUAUCUGUUCUUCAGAACAGAGAAUGCUAUUUAAAGGCAUACUUAGGUGAGGUUGGUGGGAAGAUGAAGGUGAAGAUGCUUGAGGUAUUCUCACCGUGAAAUCCACAGCGCCUGUGGCUGCAGCCUUGCUUUGAAUGCCCUGGUGCGAAUAGCUGCCUUAGCUGCAACUGAGUUUGCUGGCCUUACUGCCCUGCAGGGAAAUGGUGUUUGCUUUGGGAUGGCCUGCUGGUGUGGGGAAAGGUCGUGACAGGGUGAGUCGAUGUCUGAAGGGCAGCAGCACGUGAACCGGCCACGCGCUAUCAGCACAGAGAGCUCAGGUGGAAUCCCUCCGGAGCUGCAGCAGGGCAGUGCUGGAGUGCGGAGGUGACCCAGAGCCGGAGCUGAGGGCUGACCCGGGGAGCUGCAGGCUCUGAGCUGGUUGUGUAGGAGGGUGCUGUGCUGCCUCCUGCAUCUCAUGCUCAUCCUGCAGACAAACCUCCGCCUCGAUGGCUGCUGCUGUUUUCUUCCUGGUUGCCGGAAGACGUGUUCCCACAGGCCUAGCUGGGUUUUUGUGCUUCAUGCCUUAAUUGCUUCAUCCUUAUCUGGAAAUGAAUUUGGAGAAGUACAGCUAAAACAAACACCCAGUCUUGUUCUUGGAAACACCAAUGUCUGUUUGCCAGACGUGUCUGUGACCUUCCAGGUUAAUGAGCAACGCUCUGAGGCAAUGUGGGGUUGCGCCUCUCCCCUGGUUGGGCACCAAAGGGGAAGUCAGGUAGGUGGAGGCCUGGAAAAUGCCAUGGGGAAUGGGUUCAGCUCAGGGUGAGCAGGGUCUCUGGAUGAUGGGCAGGUGUAGGGCCAUCUCUACGGGCGUUCUUUCACAUUCAAAGCCUCAGGCCAACAGUAAGUUUUAAAAUAAACAAUAGAUCUAAUUUGCUGCCUCAGGAAGCGUCAGUCAAGCGAAGUUACGUUUGCAGUGUAGUGUGAUAGAUCGACCUUAUGGGUUUAUUUCAGAAUUUUAAAGCUGUGGGUCCAUAUCUGGAUUAAACAGUCCCAGCAAAUGGGUUUUAUCUCAGUACACCACAGUGGAUUCAGGCAAGUAGGGUGGAUUUGGCUUGUAACUGCUUAACCACUGCAGUUCUGCUUGUGGAUGGUUUGUUUCAUUGUGUUUUUCAAGAGAGUGGUUCUUCCCAGGCUGCAGGAAAGCACCACUUCUGGUAUGUGGGUUAAUGAAGGGCUCGGUAAGACCCAGGGAGCUCUUCUGGUAGCAGUCAAGUGCUCCUUCUAUGUUAAUUAUCACCGUGUUUCUCAGCAAAGGUAAGGAAAGCAAAGUUCUUCAGCCGGUGCUGCUUUAUUGUCACCACGCUCCAAAUGCACGUUGGUGAAAUUCCUGAUUAUUUCCACGCUUCAGCUGAUGGUCCACAAGUGGUCACCUGCAGUCAUCGUUCAUCUUUUUUCAGUUGGAGAUGCUGCAAAUGCCAGAGAUGAGAUGAGGGGAAACACAUCAAGGCUUUCUUUGCUUCCUGCCUUUGAGCCUGUGAUGGGUUUCUGUGGGUCUGAAGUCCUGCUGUAAGAGCUCGCAGCAGCUGGAAGUGUAAUGCACUGCAGCUCGGUGCCUCCUGAGGCACUCGGGCACAGCCUGGAGGAGUUUAAUGGCACUGAGGAUGGUUUUACCAACGCAUGAACCAACAUGGGCUGAGAGAGCAACUCACAAUACCUUCCUGCAACAGAGAAAGUCCAGGUAUUUACCAAACCUGAGUGAAUUGUCCUGGCUUUUUUGCUCCCUCUAUCAUAAUGUAAUUCAGUUGUAAACAGCUAUUUCAAGGCCAAAAGCCGUGAUUUAUCUUUUUGGGGGGCUGCAGUAGGAGGCACAUGACCAGAAAGCGCUCUUUGCUCCCUGUGUGGUGCACAGGGGAUGCUUUGGACCCUGACAUGCUGUGUGUCCCUGAGCUGGGCCCCCACGUGCGGCCCUGCCUGUGGCACAGCCCUCCGCUCAUGGAUAGGGCUAUGUCAGAGCAUGGAAAAAGAUUGUGAAACCUCCUGCUGAGAUAUUUGAGACCUCAGUGUUUUGCUUGCUAAUUUUGAACCCGUGAGAUGUUUCUCAUGGCCUAUUUAUAGAGCAGCUUGCUCUCAGAAGGCCCAGCGGGCCCCGCUCUGCAGAGCAGGCCUGAGAACCUCACCCGGGGACACGGGCCUGCACAGCCAUCGUGCUGUGCUUCGGCUCUGAUGGGCAGGGCCCAGCCCAAGGCACGCGGGUGGACGUCCAAGGUGAUGUUGGUGGGAUGGCAGUAGAGAUUGAACCUUCCCACCAGCAUCCCAUUACAUUUUGCUGCUGCGUAAGAGAUGGAAGGAAGCCUGACGGAAUGGCGCCUGGCGUGCAAGUGUGUGUGAAGCAAAGCCGUGUCAUUGAGUUCUCCCAUGCUGGUGAAGAUGCACAGCUAGAGGUGGUAACUAUGCAGGAAAAAAAAAAAAAAAAAAAACAACAAAAAAACAGUGUUCUGUAGCUGAGAAUUUGCUCUAUCAAACAGUGUUGUUGUGCUCUUUGUUGUAGUUUCCAUAAUAAAUAAUGAGGAGGCGUUACUUCUGGAGCAACCUGUCUAUUCCUCAGUCAUCGAAGGUGCUGAAAAGCAGAUAAGGCUGCACGCUUGCCUCCUCGUCAGCCACCCCACAGUACUGCUGGUUACACCGCUGGUGAAUGCUAACGUCAAACUGAUUUGCUCCCAAGAAGCCACUGCUGCGUGCUCCUGCAGGGAUGCUGCGGGCUGCCCCCCGCUCUCUGCUGUGCUUUGUGUGCUCCACGGGUGUUCUCUCCCUGAAGCAGUGGUUACGUGGGAUUUGGGGCUCCCUUUCCAACCCCUCCUGCGAAAGGAGAGCACAGGUGAGACUCUUAUCAGCUAUCUCUCUGCAGUUACGGACUGGGAGUCUCUCUUAUCUCUUUAACCUUCACGUAGCCCUUGCCUGGAGGCACUCGAUGCGGUGGUUACUUUAUCCAGACUGCUUUCUGGAUCACAGAUCCCUGAACAAUAACAGAGAGGGGUGGCAGAGGCAAGCCUGGACUAGAAAUCAGAUCGGAAAUACUGAGAAAUGAGAGUUAAACAAAAGCUGCAUCACGUAACGAGGGGUCCUGGCUGCCAUGGGGCCCAUCCUGUCCCUGCUCAGCAACCAGCCCUGCCUUGCAGGGACUCGGCAGGGAUGCUGCAGGAGGGAAACUCCUCCGUUUGGGGCUCUAGCUCUGAGAGGGGCAUUGCUGGCAUUUACUCAGGGGCCAAGAAAGCCGCAGUCAAGCUUAGCACAUAGCUAACCUACCCCAUCCCUGCAGGUGCUCAAGGCCAGGUUGGAUGGGGCCCUGGGCAGCUGGGUCUGGUGCCUGAUUUCGUGGUUGUCUUGUGGUUUCUUGUCUUGUGGGUUUUGCCCACAGCAAGGGGUGGAACUAGGUGGUCUUUGAGAUCCCUCCCAACCCAUACCAUUCUGUGACUAUGAUUCUAAGUUUAUGGCUGGCCUAAGGGAUGUCUGACAGGGUUAAGUCCAGUUUAAUUGGUCUGCCUGCUGCAUCAAAACAGUCUAUCUAGCAGAAAGAUGAGUAAAGCAAGCAUUUGUGGAGACGGGCACUGCUCCACAGGGUCUGUGCUGUUUCAUGCAGUGAUCCUUCAAAGCCAUCAAUGCAUUACUAACGGUCUGUGAUUUCUGAGCUGCCUCCACUGAUUUAGCUGGUGUCUGUCUCACGUGUUGGAAGUGGUGCAUGGCUGUCUUUGCAGGGUGAGGGCUGUGGGCACAGGAAUCCAGAACAAGCCGGUGAGCAGAGGUUUAAUCAGCACGAUCAGCUCUCGGUGUUGGGAUGCUUUUCAGUGGUGAGCUAUGGGAAAUCCUCUUUGGUGUUCCAGGCAGUUUCCUGGGGGAAUGUAUAUUACAAAGAAAUGAAUAAAUAAGGGAGAAAGGAUAACGUUGCUCACACAGCAGCCAAAAUGAGGGAGCUCACCCGGGGGCUGAGCACAGGCAGAGGCAGCCGCACCACCUCCUCCUCCUCCUCCAAGAGGCGGCUGCAGGCAGAGCUGAUGGACGGCCUCGUGGACACGUUGUGCUGGCUGGGAACUCAUGCUGCAGUGGAAACACCCCCCCCCCUUGCUGCCAGACUUAAAAUCAGAGGUAUACACGGACCUAUAUAGAAGUUAAUACUUCCGUUGAAAGUUUCCCUAGCAGUCAGCACUUACCUGUGAGUACUGUAUUUCCAGCAGGUGAUCUGAGAUUUGUAUGAUAGUUUCCUCGUGCUCCAAUUUCUUUUUUAUUUAAUUCUUUUUAGCCACCAGGUGGUGUAAGGCUUCACUCAGGCUGUGUGAUGGAGCAGCCGGGUUGUGGCAUGCGGGAGGGGAUGCCACAAGGGAAGAAGAGGUGUUUGCAGCAGGAGCACUUGAUCUGGGGGCUUUGGGGAAGAGGCGCCGUAUUGAAUUCAUUUGGUUGUUUUAGGAAAGGAAACCCGUAGGACCCUUUGCUCCUGCUUCAGGUAAGGGCAGAAAGGCAGACAAACCCAUAGCACGCAAUACUCCCUUCACUUUUUAAGGUUUUUCUCCCUGCCUAAAACAUACCUUGCAGUUUUCAAUGCGAUACUGCCAGGAAAUGGCUUUGCAGGUAAGCAAGGCAGGUUUGGGUUUCUUUGCCAGCAGUCAGAAGGGAUUAUUUUCAUCCUGCAGGGCCAAAAGGUUUCUCUGUCCUCCCACUUCUGCAGUUCUCCCUGAAGCAUUUCUGCCUUCACAUAUGUGACUUCCACGGUCAGCGAGGGAAAUUGGAGACCUGCUGGGCAGAUAUUGGUAUUCAAGGCACGUGCAGAAGAUGUGUGCAAGACUUAACCAGGCUUCUACUUGAAUUUUGUCUGGGUAACUUCCAGAAACAACAGAGGAGUCAUCACGUUGCUGUGAAAAUACACAAGAUGUGUUGUCAGCAAUAGCUGCAGUGAUUGCUCGGUGGUGUCCAGAACCAGAGAGAAGGAAAGAUCUUCAGACCAAGGGUGGCACAUGGACCUUCCUGGGGAGAUCUGAAUGGUAUCACAGCGCAAACAGCUUUUGUUCGGGUAGCCGUAGUUCAGGCUGAGGCACAGCUGCCCCAAAAUAGAGCCCAGACAGACAACGCCGAGGAUGGCUCGAGGCUUUGGGAGGACAUGGCAGAGGGAACCUUACCCUGUGUGGGGCACACAGAGCCUCGCCGAUGCUACACCUGCGCAGGAAGGAUAGGGGUGAUUUCCAAAUCAAUGUACCGGUGCUCAUUUUUUGUUUGUUUGUUUGAUUUUUGUUUUCAAAACCUGUGCAGGGCUGCUGGGUUGAUGUCACCACCGCUUUGUCUGGCUUUGGCCUGAGGGGCAGGAGGGAGUCUGGUCACCCCCGUAAUCCCAGCAGCCUCCAAUGGCAACGACAGCGCUCGGAUGAAUGAAGGCAGCAGCACUGUGCAAAUUACCUUUUCUUUCUUAUCCACAGUAAGACAGAUAAUAAUCCUCCUACGGGACUAAUUACAGCCAAUGAAAAUAACUCCCACUGCCAGUAUUUGAAGGAUAACCACUUAGAUGAAAAAGAGUGAAAAAUGAUUAUUAUUUUGUGCGUGGCUCUCUCUCGCCCCAUCUAUUCUGACCUCAGUAAAUCACAGUGUAAUUAAUCACUGAGGAUUAAACACCGCAGGGAAAAGAGUAGGAAAUUAUGUAUAAGCAAAACUUGAAAUGACUUUGACUUACCAUAAAUUUGGGUUAUCUGUCUCACAGAAUACAAUUCCUAGGCUGCCUCUUAUGGAAUAAAUCUAUCCCGACCUGUGUCCAUGAGAACUGUAUGAAUAGUGAAGACUGGAGUAUCGCUGGGUGUGUAAGAAACUAAUCAAAAAAGGC
rnacentral:lncRNA from 1 species